GUAGGUAUAGCUCAGUGGUAGAGCACCUGCUUAGCAUGCAGGAGGCCCUAGAUUCAAUCCCCAGUUCUUCUG
rnacentral:tRNA from 1 species